UAAACUCUAAUUUAAUUUUAAAAUGUCUGACUGUUAAUUGGAAUAUGUCUCAUGUGGACGGGUUUAG
rnacentral:tRNA from 1 species